rnacentral:ncRNA from 1 species
UUAAUACUGAGCAUAUAUAUAUGCCCGAAGCUGAAUAACGGCAAAGCCGCGAAUUGCUCAUUACAGCAGUUGUUGUUUAAUAGCGGAUGAAUUUCUUGUGGAUAACUGUGGUAAUUCUAGAGCUAAUACGUGCAUUACUGCUUCGACUUCGGUCGGAGCGCAGCUAUUAGAACAAAGCUGAACAGAACCUUCUCGUGAGGUCUGCUAUUUGAUGAAUCUGAAUAACGUUGUAGAUCGCAUGGUCAAGUACCGGCGACAUGUCUUAUAAAUGCCUGCCUUAUCAACUUUGGUUGGUAGGAUAUACGCCUACCAUGGUGAUAACGGGUAACGGAGGAUCAGGGUUCGACUCCGGAGAGGGAGGUUCAGGGUUCGACUCCGGAGAGGGAGCCUGAGAAACGGCUGCCACAUCCAAGGAAGGCAGCAGGCACACAAAUUACCCAAUUUCGGAAUGAAGAGGUAGUGAUA